UACGUAGGGGGCUAGCGUUGUCCGGAAUCAUUGGGCGUAAAGCGCGUGUAGGCGGCCCGGUAAGUCCGCUGUGAAAGUCGGGGGGCUCAACCCUCGAAUGCCGGUGGAUACUGUCGGGCUCGAGUCCGGAAGAGGCGAGUGGAAUUCCCGGUGUAGCGGUGAAAUGCGCAGAUAUCAGGAGGAACACCAAUGGCGAAGGCAGCACUCUGGGACGUGACUGACGCUGAGACGCGAAAGCGUGGGGAGCAAACAGG
rnacentral:rRNA from 1 species